AACGAACGCUGGCGGCAUGCCUAACACAUGCAAGUCGAACGAGACCUUCGGGUCUAUUGGCGCACGGGUGCGUAACGCGGGGGAACCUGCCCUUAGGUUCGGAAUAACUCCCCGAAAGGGGUGCUAAUACCGGAUAAUGUCUUCGGACCAAAGAUUUAUCGCCCUUGGAUGGGCCCGCGUUGGAUUAGCUAGUUGGUAGGGUAAAAGCCUACCAAGGCGACGAUCCAUAGCUGGUCUGAGAGGAUGAUCAGCCACACUGGGACUGAGACACGGCCCAGACUCCUACGACAGGCAGCAGUGGGGAAUAUUGGCAUACGGGUGAUAGAUCGAUCCAGCAAUGCAGCGUGAGUGAUGAAGGCCUUAGGGUUGUAAAGCUAUUUUACCCGUGAUGAUAAUGACCGUACAGGGAGAAUAAGCCACGGCUAACUACGUG
rnacentral:rRNA from 1 species